rnacentral:rRNA from 1 species
AACGAACGCUGGCGGCGCGUCUUAAACAUGCAAGUCGAACGGCAGGAAGGGGCUUGCCCCUUAUGAGAGUGGCGGACUGGUGAGUAACACGUGGGUGACAUACCUUUUAGUUGGGGAUAGCUAUUAGAAAUAGUAGGUAAUACCGAAUGUGACCGUACCUGUUAGAGGGGUACGAGGAAAGGAGCUAAGGCUUCGCUAAAAGAAUGGCUCGCGGCCCAUUAUGCUCGUUGGUGAGGUAACGGCCCACCAAGGCGAUGAUGGGUAUCCGGCCUGAGAGGGUGAACGGACACAUUGGGACUGAGAUACGGCCCAGACUUCUACGGGAGGCAGCAGUUAAGAAUAUUCCGCAAUGGACGAAAGUCUGACGGAGCGACGCCGCGUGGAUGAAGAAUGCCGAAAGGUUGUAAAAUCCUUUUAAGCAUGAUGAAUAAGCACAGUAGGGAAUGAUUGUGCGGUGACCGUAGGGCUUGAAUAAGCACCGGCUAAUUACGUG